rnacentral:lncRNA from 1 species
CCGCAGAUGGCACUGCUGCCCGUCCCAGGGGUGCCAGGCAGGGCUGUGGGGUCUUGGCUGGGUCCCCCAGGGUCAGCCGGCUGUCGGUGCCCACCCUUCCUGCCUCUGCGUCCCCAGGAGAGGAUGGAGCCCAGCAGCCACCCGAAGCUGCCGUCCACGGCUCAGCGCCCAGGUCGGAAUUCCUUCUAGAACCCUCUACACAAGGACCACAGAACCAAAUGUGUUACUUCUGUUUUUAUUGCCUCUGCUCUAAAGCAGGCUUUGGAUAGUCUAAAUGCUUCAGAAGAAGUUGCUACUUCUGGAUGACAUUGACCUUGGGGUGCAUCGUGAAAGGCUUAAGAAAACAAACUUCUUUUCUCAGAUCAGUUGACUACUCGUGUAAGUCAGUCUCUUGGGCCCUUUCUUAGGACUCAUCAGCCUAUGAGCCUUUUUUGUAACCAGUAUUACACUGAUUGGUUUGGGGUUUUUUCUUGUUACUGAUUUUUGUUUUUUGUUUUUACCUGGUGGUACUGGGACUGAACUCAGGGCUUUCACACUGAGCUACAUCCUUUUUUUCCAUUUUAUUUUUUAUUUUGAGAUAGAAUCUUACUAAAUUACCAAGUUGCCUAAACUGGGCUUCAAUGUGCGGUCCUCCUGCCUCAGCCUCCCGGAGUGCAGCCCAACCCCCAGCAGUACCGCCCUGUCGGGGUCGCUGCAGCUCUGUGGUGAGUGUUAAAGUUGGAAGUGACCAUCCCCCAGCUUUGUUCUUCAGUACUGGGCUGGCUAUUUUGGCUCUUGGGCCUCCACGUAGACGUCAGAUUCAUGUGCUGGCACCCACAAGAACCCCUGCUGGAAUUACGCGUGGUGUCGUGUUGCGUCUCUAGACCAAGACGGGAAAGGCAGCCAUCUGGCCAUUCUAGAGCCUUCCCGUGCAGUGACAUGGUUCCUCUUCUGGUUACUUAGCCCUCCUCUGGUUCAUUUCUUCAGAAUGACGUAGCUUUGUCAUAGAAACCUUGUCCAUAUUUUGUUAGAGUCAUACCUGAGGAUUUCAUUUUGGGCGUGCUAAGGUAAAAUCCCUAACCCUGUUCGUCACCCAUUACCCACCGCUGUGCGAGCUGGAAAGGAGCUACCCGGGCCAGGUGGGGAAUUACCACAUGGGCUUCCUGGUGACCAAGGACGAAGGCCAGGCAGGUCCAGGCAAAGAGGAAGUCCCUGAUUUUGUGACUUUUCUUUAUCAAAUAACCAGAGGAGUUGCAGCAAGGAGUUACGGCCUAAACGUGGCUAAGCUAGCAGAUGUUCCUGGAGAAGUCCUGAAGAAAGCAGCUCACAAGUCCAAGGAGCUGGAAGGGUUAAUAAACAUGAAAAGGAAAAGGCUGAAGUCUUUUUGAAAUUGUGGACAACACAUAGUACGGAAGACCUUCGAGAGUGGAUGGACGAGUUUGAAGUAGAAGAAACACAGACUUCUCUUCCUGAUGAGCCUGUGGACCGCUCUUUGGAAGAAACAGCGGAGAGUUAGAAACACCCACCACCGUCUAAAACAGGUGCCCAGCAGCGCCCAUCUGGCACAGGAGAGCACCGCAUCCCGGCCGCAGCGGUCCGUUUGGGAGAUGGAUUUCUUCCUUUUGUGAAGGAAACGAUGCUCAGGUUCCUUCCCCUCCGCCUUUUCAGAUAGCAAGGCUCCCUCUGUGACCGGAAAUCUCCUGGAUGGGGCUCCACAAGGUGACACCUCUUCGGUUAGUGCCUGUUCUGUUUGCACGAGAUAAUGUUAAAAGCCACCAAUUCUUCAUGUGCAGAAUAAUUUUUGAUAAAAAUAGAAUUAUGAAGCUCUUAGAAACUAGAGCCCAGUGCCCUGGAAGAAUAAAGUCAUAUGAAAUUUGCAGAGUUAGACGUGGUCGUAGUUUUAAGCAGUUUAAAUAAUGUUGAAUGGUGUGAUCUGUCCCUCUGUGGAGUAAUACUUAAUGCACACUUGCUUCAGACUUCUGUGCGUCCUGCUGAGUGCUGGUGUUCCCGAAGGCCAGGCAGUUGUUUUGCAGGUUGGUCCUGGAACCCAGGUCGCUGCCCCACAGAGUGGUGCGCAGGUCCUCCUGCCCUCUGCAGCCCACGGCCCCUGCGCGGUGCCCCCCUCCUGGUGAGGCUGGGGACGCAGCCGUGUCUCCGAGAUGUGCAUGGCCCCUCUGCCUGCUCCGGUCUGCUGUCCUCCGUUCGUGCUCCUGCUCAGUUAGAUCCCACCCCACGUGGGAUGCGUGGUCUCCAGCGCCUUCUCCAAGAAGCUGCCUGCAGUGGCCCCCCAGGUCCGGAGCAGCGUGGUGCACCCACGCGAGGAAGUCGUUCUCACUUGGCUGCCCAGCCCAGGCCCAGCAUCACUCCCC